rnacentral:pre_miRNA from 1 species
CACAAAGAAAGACCUCUUCCCGGUUCUUCCCAGAGUCAGGAAAAGCUGGGUUGAGAGGGCGGAAAAAAAAAGAA